GAACCUCGGCUCGUGCUUGAAUCCAGAUCCGGCUCGUGCUUCAUCGUCAAAGCUCGCCGAUCUCUGACUCCAGCCAUUUAUUCCGAGCAAAACCGCGAGGUCCUCAGCCACGCCGGCGACGCUCCUCGGCCUCGACACGACGAACCUCAACUCGUGCUUGAAUCCAGAUCCGGCUCGUGCUUCGUCGUCAAAGCUCGCCGAUCUCUGACUCCAGCCAUUUAUUCCAAGCAAAACCGCGAGGUCCUCAGCCACGCCGGCGACGCUCCUCGGCCUCGACACGACGAACCUCAGCUCGUGCUUGAAUCCAGAUCCGGCUCGUGCUUGAAUCUAGAUCUGGCUCGUGCUUCGUCGUCAGAGCUCGCCGAUCUCUGACUCCGGCCACUUAUCCCGAGCAGAACCGCGAGGAGCUGGCGCUUCUAGUUGUGCUCCUGCUCAUGGAGUCAAACUGUGUGACGAUGGCGUCUGACGGAUCUGCAUGGUGGUGGCUUCGGAUCGACGGAUCGGAAUGUGUUGAUCGGCGACAUCGCUCCUCAAGGAGUAAGAUCCAAGGUCGAGGUUGAUUUGUCCGAGGUUAGGGUUUAAUUCUCCGUCUUCCUUCCUCUGUAUCAUUGACUAUCUAUAUAUGUGUUUGUAUGUGAUUGGGAUUUGUUUGAGUUUGCAGUACAAAGAAGAACACAAAUGUGCGGUUGGGUAUACCGAAUCCAAACUGUGGGCACGCACCUUGUUGAAGAGAAUAGCUAGGUUGCAGUGUUGUGAUUUCUUGUGAAUUAAGUGCAGUAUGUUGCAAUUAUGUUCUCAAAAUAUAUUUCUGCUCAAGUUAUAAGUUUCUUUCAUGUGUGAUUACAAGUAUAGCAUUAGUUAUUGAUUUCAUUUUUUGUGUUAUUGAUGUAUCUAUCAACGGGAAGACAACAAACAUGUAUAUUAGAGGGUAAUAAGUCGGUUACUGAGGGUUAGUAAUUUAGUUACAGGGGGUCAGUAACUAGUUACUAAGUGUCAGUAACUGGUCAGUGGGGGUCAGUAACUAGUUACUAAGUGUCAGUAACUGGUUAGUGAAGGUCAGUAACUGGUUAAUAGGUGUCAGUAACGGGUCAGUAACUGGUUAUUGGGGGUCAGUAACUGGUUACUGGGUGUGAGUAACUGGUCAGUAACUGGUUAUUGGGGGUCAGUAACUGGUUAUUGGGUGUCAGUAACUGGUUACUGAGUGUGAGUAACUGGUCAGUAACUGGUUAUUGGGGGUCAGUAACUAGUUACAGGGAAGAAUCCGGUGACCGGAAUCCGGCAGUCGGGAAAAAUCCGGUGACCGAAAUCCGGCCGUCGGGGAAAUUCCGGUGACCGGAGUCCGAGGUUCCGGCCAAGUCUUUUCAUGUUGAAGAGGUGGGGGCAAAAUAGUCUUAAAAUAAUAUGGUUUGUUAAGACUUUAGUAAAGAUUUAUGCAUUUGGGCAUAAAAAUGGUUACCUUAUAAUAGAAUGGGCUAAUGCAAAAGAUUAUCAUUAGAAUGGGAAAUAAGGGGUUUGAAUUAGUACUAAAUGGGCAUUUUCCCUUUAUAUUACCGAUGUGAGAUUCAUAUCUCAACAAUUACAUUUUAGUGAUAUGAUAUACAAAUAUUGCUUGACACCCGAUGCACAAAUGCUAGCUACUCAAAUAUUCGAUAUAUUUUACCAAUAGAGGAGGAGACUUGAACCCAUUAUAGUCAAAGUCGUUUUCUCACUAUUUCUUGACAUCCAUGACAACUUUCUAAUGUAUACAUGUUAUAUUUUUGAAAAGCUAGUGAAAACCAUCCACUGUUAUUUGAUUUCCCAUUUUUCUAUUUUCUAGCAAUUGAAAGACAAAAUCUCUUUUACAGGAGUACGUAGCUCCAACAAUGAAAGAAAUAUAAAAAAAUUCAUAAUAUUCAGGUACAGCUAUAUCUUACUAUAUUAGUAAGUAUAUAUGACCGAAUAUAUUCAACAAAUCGAAUGAAUAUAAUCUUUC
rnacentral:lncRNA from 1 species